rnacentral:lncRNA from 1 species
UGGAAUACUAUUGGUAACAAAUAAGCUCUAUUGCUACCAAUUUAUUUUCGAUGAUGGAGCUUCCAAAUCGAUGAUCAGUACUAUUAAACAUGAUCUAAACCAUUUAAACUAUUAGGAAAUCAAAUUUUUAUACUUUUUUGAUACUGUUCUCUAAUCAAUCAAGUGGACACAAAAUAAAUGACUAAAAAUGAAUAUCUUUCAAAUAGUGAUGAUAAGAGUCUUGUAAUUAAGAUCAAGAGUAAAGAGUUUAAAAAAUUUCUAACCAAAAUUCAAUGAUUUAGAUAUGGGUAAAUUGCACUGUUUCCUCCUGAACUUUUGGCAGUUUCACUUUACCCCCCAAACUCUUAAAAUAGACAUUUAGCCCCCUAAACUUUAAUACUGCAUUCUUGUUGCCCCUUCCGUUAGUUCUAGUUAACGAAGCUAAACGGGAGUUGAUGGAAGGGUUAGGUUUUGGUGGGAAAUCGCCAAAAUUGUCCCCUGUUCCGAGCAAGCCCUCUUUUAUUCCUUAAAAACUCCUUUUUCUCUAUUUCUAUGCCCUCCAAAGUUCUUAUUCUCCAACUAUCCCCUCCAAUACCUUCUCCUCCAACUCUUUCCUCCAAAGCUCUCUCUUCCAAAGCUCAUCAUCAAUUUAAAAUCUCUUUUUCUCCUCCAACUCCUUCAAAACUCUCAUUUUCUUAUAAACUACGCCAUGGAUGCCUCACAAUUCGUGAUCCCG